rnacentral:rRNA from 1 species
UACGUAGGGUGCAAGCGUUGUCCGGAAUUAUUGGGCGUAAAGGGCUCGUAGGCGGUCCAUCACGUCGGGAGUGAAAAGCUGGGGCUUAACCCCAGUCCUGCUUUCGAUACGGGUGGACUAGAGGUAGGCAGGGGAGAACGGAAUUCCUGGUGUAGCGGUGAAAUGCGCAGAUAUCAGGAGGAACACCGGUGGCGAAGGCGGUUCUCUGGGCCUUACCUGACGCUGAGGAGCGAAAGCGUGGGGAGCGAACAGG